GUUGCCGUAGCACAGCAGCCAAUUGCAAUUAGUGGGAGAGUAUGGUGCCAGCAGCCGCGGUAAUUCCAUCACUGAGAGCUAUUUCUUUCGUUGCUGCAAUUAAAACGUCCGUAGCCGUUGGUAGUUCGCGUGUCACUUUGAGAAAAUCGGAGCGUUCAUAGCAGGCUAGCCGCUGUACAGCACAGCAAAGCACGACAUCGCGGCAGCAAUGCCGCAUGGAGUACAUGGCGGCACGUGGUCAAUUGUAUUCCGGGGGGACAGGCGAAAUAGGAUGAUCCCCGGAGGACACCCAGGAGCGAAGGCAGUUGACAAGUGCCGUCCAGUUGGUCAAGGACGAAAGUGUGGGGAUAGACGAUGAUUAGAUACCGUUUUAUUCCACGCCUUAAACGCUACCAUCUAGACAGCGGGCGCAGUGCUCGCAGUCCCAAGGAAACCGGAAGGCUUCAGGCUUUGGGGGAAGUAUGGUUGCAAGACUGAAACUUGAAAGCAUUGACGGAAAGGUACCACAAGACGUGGAGUCUGCGGCUCAAUUUGACUCAACACGCAAAAUUUACCAGGCCCAGAGGCUUUAUGGAGCGACAGAUUGAGAGUUCUUUUGCGAUUAGGCCGAUAGUGGUGCAUGGCCGCUCCUAGUUCGUGGUGUUAACUGUCUGCUUUAUUGCGAUAACGAGCGAGAUCCCUAGGUUGUAUCAACAACCGAGCGCCAGCGCUGAGUUGGACGAGCGUAGGGGCUCUAGCAGGUCUGUGAUGCCCUUAGAUACCCUGGGCCGCACGCGUACUACAAUGCCGGCGGCAAAACGUUGCAAGACACGAUUGUCGCGCUAUCCACUAACCGCCGGCGUGGUCGGGAUCGGGGCUUGGAAUUGUCCCCCGUGAACGAGGAAUGUCUUGUAAACGCGCGUAAGAAGCGCGCGCUGACUGCGUCCCUG
rnacentral:rRNA from 1 species